GAAUGUAAGGGCAAUCUGGCUGUGACAUCUGUCACCCUAUUGAUGGACAGGGUUGAUUCAGCUAAUCUGGCUGGCUGGGUGUUUGUCCCCUCACUCCCUCACUGCUCCAUGUGGGUGUCCCUCCUGAAUCUGUGCACUCGGUCGAAGAGGACAAUCUUCCCUGAAUAGAGGAGGACAGUUCUUCGGUCAAGUGUACAUUAGUAGCUGUGCUCUCCUGCUAGAACCUCCAAACAAGCUCUCAAGAUUCUAAGUCCUCCUGGCUUCCUGUAUUUAUAAAUAAAAUUUUAUUGUAACACAGCUGUGAUCAUUUGUU
rnacentral:snRNA from 1 species